GCCGUGUUCCCAUAAUGGUAUUGGAACGGAUUGCUAAUCCGUCGCCGGAUAUCCGGCUUAUAGGUUCGAGUCCUAUACACGGCG
rnacentral:tRNA from 1 species